rnacentral:rRNA from 2 species
UACGAAGGGGGCUAGCGUUGUUCGGAAUUACUGGGCGUAAAGCGCGCGCAGGCGGUCCUUCAAGUCAGAGGUGAAAGCCCAGAGCUCAACUCUGGAACGGCCUUUGAAACUAGAGGACUUGGGUACGGGAGAGGUGAGUGGAAUUCCGAGUGUAGAGGUGAAAUUCGUAGAUAUUCGGAAGAACACCAGUGGCGAAGGCGGCUCACUGGCCCGUUACCGACGCUCAGGCGCGACAGCGUGGGGAGCAAACAGG